GACGAACGCUGGCGGCGUGCUUAACACAUGCAAGUCGAACGAGGAUACUAAGACAGAAGCCUUCGGGUGGAAGACAUAGUAUUCGAGUGGCGGACGGGUGAGUAACGCGUGAGUAAUCUGCCUUAGGGAGGGGAAUAACAGCGAGAAAUCGUUGCUAAUACCGCAUAAGACUACAAGGUCGCAUGACCAAGGAGUCAAAGAUUUAUCGCCCUAAGAUGAGCUCGCGUCCCAUUAGCUAGUUGGUAAGGUAAGAGCUUACCAAGGCGACGAUGGGUAGCCGGACUGAGAGGUCGAUCGGCCACACUGGGACUGAGACACGGCCCAGACUCCUACGGGAGGCAGCAGUGGGGAAUAUUGGGCAAUGGGCGAAAGCCUGACCCAGCAACGCCGCGUGAAGGAAGAAGGUUUUCGGAUCGUAAACUUCUAUCGAUAGGGAAGAAAAAUAGACGGUACCUAAGUAAGAAGCCCCGGCUAACUACGUGCCAGCAGCCGCAGU
rnacentral:rRNA from 2 species